CAGUCGCCACGGGAAUACGGAGGGUGCAAGCGUUAUCCGGAUUUAUUGGGUUUAAAGGGUCCGUAGGCGGAUCUGUAAGUCAGUGGUGAAAUCUCACAGCUUAACUGUGAAACUGCCAUUGAUACUGCAGGUCUUGAGUAAAUUUGAAGUGGCUGGAAUAAGUAGUGUAGCGGUGAAAUGCAUAGAUAUUACUUAGAACACCAAUUGCGAAGGCAGGUCACUAAGAUUUAACUGACGCUGAUGGACGAAAGCGUGGGGAGCGAACAGGAUUAGAUACCCCGGUAGUCCCUGUCUCUUAUAA
rnacentral:rRNA from 1 species